AUAGCGUAUAUUAAAGUUGUUGCAGUUAAAAAGCUCGUAGUUGAACUUCAGACCUGGCUGGGCGGUCUGCUUAACGGCAUGUACUGUCUGACUGGGUCUUACCUCUUGGUGAGCCGGCGUGCCCUUUAUUGGUUGUGCGUUGGGGAACCAGGACUUUUACCUUGAGAAAAUUAGAGUGUUCAAAGCAGGCCUAUGUCCGGAUACAUUAGCAUGGAAUAAUAAAAUAGGACGUGCGGUUCUAUUUUGUUGGUUUCUAGAGUCGCCGUAAUGAUUAAUAGGGAUAGUUGGGGGCAUUAGUAUUCAGUUGCUAGAGGUGAAAUUCUUGGAUUUACUGAAGACUAACUACUG
rnacentral:rRNA from 1 species